CAGAUCUGUGCUGUAUUGGCGGCUGUAACCGAAGUGAUUCGGUCUCAGGGAGGAAAGGAGACAGAGACGGAGUACUUUGCAGCCUUGAUGACAACACUCGAAGCUGUAGACAGCAGUGAAUCUCUGGCAGCUGUUGCCUACCUCCUAAACCUGGUCAUGAAAAGGAUGCCUGUGGCAGUGCUUAAGAAGAAGUUCUCAGACACAGCCAAGGCUUUAAUAGAUAUCAUGUCAAACCAAGCCAAUACUGACUCUUUGUCCUGUCUGCGAUGGGUUUGUACACUCUUCUCAUGAAUCUAACACUUUGAUUCUCAGCAGAAGCUUGUA